rnacentral:rRNA from 1 species
AUUGAACGCUGGCGGCAGGCCUAACACAUGCAAGUCGAACGGUAACAGGAAGCUGCUUGCUGCUUUGCUGACGAGUGGCGGGCGUGUGAGUGAUGUCUGGGAAACUGCCCGAUGGAGGGGGCUCACUCCUGGAACCGGUAACUAAUACCGCAUAACGUCGCAAGACCACAGACGGGCACCUUACGGCCUCUUGCACUCGGCUCUGCCCGGAUGGUAUUCGCUAGUCGGUGGGGUAACGGCUCCCCUCGGCGGCGGUCCCACGCUGGUCUGCGAGGUUGACCAGCCACACUGGAACGGAGACACGGUCCAGACUGCUACGGGAGGCAGCAGUGGGGAAUAUUGCACAACGGGCGCAAGCCUUAGGUGGGCAAGCCGCGUGUAUGAAGAAGGCCUUCGGGUUGUAGAGUACUUCAGGCGGGGAGGAAGGGAAUAAAGGUAAGACCAUGGCGCAUUGACGGUACCUGCAGAAGAAGCACCGGCUAACUCCGUG